rnacentral:lncRNA from 1 species
AAGUAUUUGUAUUUCUGUUAGGGAAGAAGACAUUUGUAUUUGCUUUGAUAUUUUCUUGGGUUAAACAGUGCAACAUUGUAAUAUUAAAAGUGGGGGAGGGGUCGGUUUUUAGUUUUCUAGGGGACAUUUUUUUCGUCUGACAACUCUAUAUUUAGAAUACUUUGUAGUGUUACCUCCUCCGACCUGGUGGUAUCAAUAAUCAUAUUCUAACCUAUCGUACGUCCCGAAAUCCUAAAUAUAUCUCAAGAAAAAUCCAAUUUAAUAAGUGUCGUAGCAUGCACGAUUAUUGUCCGAAG